rnacentral:rRNA from 1 species
GACGAACGCUGGCGGCGUGCUUAGCACAUGCAAGUCGAACGAUGAUCUCCCGCUUGCGGGGGUGAUUAGUGGCGAACGGGUGAGUAAUACGUUAGUAACCUGCCCUUGACCCUGGGAUAAGCCUGGGAAACCGGGUCUAAUACUGGAUACUACUUCCUGCCGCAUGGUGGGGGGUGGAAAGGGUUUUACUGGUUUUGGAUGGGCUCACGGCCUAUCAGCUUGUUGGUGGAGUAAUGGCUCACCAAGGCGACGACGGGUAGCCGGCCUGAGAGGGUGACCGGCCACAGUGAGACUGGGACACGGCCCAGACUCCGACGGGAGGCAGCAGUAGGGAAGAUGGCACAAAGGGCGGAAGCGUGAUGCAGCGACGGCGCGUGAGGGAUGACGGCCUUGGGGUUGUAGACCUCAUUCAGCAGGGGAGAAGCCACAAGUGACGGUACCUGCAGAAGAAGCGCCGGCUAACUACGUG